UUGCAAUAAGUUGUAAUUGGUUUAAAUCGGAAAUGAAGUUGUCGAUAAUUAUUUGGUUGUUCAGUUGCGUUGCACUGUCAAUGCAGUACGAUUGCUUUUGGAGCGGAUGUGAGGGACUCUUAUACAAAGGCACAAUUAUAUGUCGUAAAUAUGGUGCUGGUGCUCUUUACUCCGGAGGAACUAGCAAUAAAGGAUGUAAGUGGGACACGACUAGAGUGCAGUGUUGCAGAGAAGAUCAAUUGAGGCCUGGAUGCAAAUGGUCGAAGAGUUGUUACGGUAGUGCAUAUAAAGCUAGUAGAGUAUGCAGAAACGAAUUUGGGGGGAAGUUGAAGCCUUCAGGGAGAUAUUUAAGCUGUGAUGGUACAACGUUUGGAACUACUCACGAAUGCUGUCCAUAAUCGGACAAAGAUGACAUAAACAUUUCGGUCGCCGUCUCUGCUGAUCUAGUUUUAAUAUCACAUUGUUCAAAAAAAAA